rnacentral:rRNA from 1 species
UACCAGCUCUCCGAGUGGUAGGGACAAUUAUUGGGCUUAAAGCGUCCGUAGCCGGCUUAGCAAGUCUCCUGUCAAAUUCAGCGACCUAAUCGUUGAGCCGCGGGAGACACUACUAGGCUAGGAGGCGGGAGAGGCCGACGGUAUUCUCGGGGUAGGGGUGAAAUCCUAUAAUCCCGGGAGGACCACCAGUGGCGAAGGCUGUCGGCUAGAACGCGCUCGGCGGUGAGGGACGAAAGCUGGGGGAGCGAACCGGAUUAGACACCCGGGUAGUCCCAGCUGUAAACGAUGCGGGCUAGGUGUUGGGGUGGCUACGAGCCACUUCAGUGCCGCAGGGAAGCCAUUAAGCCCGCCGCCUGGGGAGUACGGCCGCAAGGCUGAAACUUAAAGGAAUUGGCGGGGGAGCACCACAAGGCGUGAAGCUUGCGGUUC